rnacentral:lncRNA from 1 species
UGAGGGCUCUGGGUUGAACUGCCUGACCUCAAGGAGACCCUGUAUCCACAGCCACAGCCAGAGCCUUGCUCAGUGCAUUGUCCAAAGGGCCAGAAGGGGGAACCCGGACAGAUGGUGAGUGGCUCCGAUGGGGGGUAGAGAAUGGGUUGGGGGGCCCAGUGGGGCAGGGGAGGCCAGCAGCAGAGGACUCACUGAUCACCUUUCCUAGGGCCUGAAAGGACAAGCCGGGCCUCCUGGCCCCCCCGGCCUCCCGGUGAGUGCCUCCCCACGCCUGUCGUCUAACACCCCGAGUAGCGAAGUGUCCCCUCACCUGCUCUCUCCUCGCAGGGCAGGAUUGGUGCUCCUGGCCCCCAGGGACCUCCUGGAAGUGCUUCUGCGAAGGGCGAGAGGGGCUUCCCUGGGGCAGAUGGGCCUCCAGGCAGCCCUGGCCGCCCUGGGACUCCUGGAGCCCCUGGUCCGAAGGUGA